rnacentral:lncRNA from 1 species
AAUAAAAUACCAAAAAAGGAAAAAAUAAAAAUAAACAAAGUAAGAAAAUAAAAAAUUAGCGAAUCAAAAAAUAUAAAAAGACAAAAUGAAUAAAAAUUUCAAAUAUAAAAUGAAAAAAACUAUUGGUUCAGAAUGUACAAAGAAAAAUAAAAAAAAUAUAACAAACAGAGGAAAAAGAUAUAAAAUAUGAAAGAUGAAAAAUAAAUAAAAGAAAGUGCACAAAAAAAGAAGUUUGAGGUUUUAAAACUAUAAAGAAGAAAUAAAAAAAGGUGUGAACAAAAAGAUUUAAGAAAAAAAAUGAAAAUACAAAAUAUAUAAAAUAAAAUUUGAGAAAAAGAAGAAAAAAAUAAAAAAUGAAGAGGCAAAAAUAUGAAAUAAAAGAAAAAGAAAAAAAUUUAUAGAAAAUUUUAAAACAAAGAAAAAAGUGAACAAAAAAGAAUGAUGGCAUAUAAAAAAAAGUAAAAAAAAAGAAGAAAAAUUUGGAAGGAGAAAAAGUUAAUGAAAAAAAUAUAAAAAUGCAAUAGAAAAUAACCAAGAAUGAUAAAAGAAAAAAGAUAAAAAAAUUAAAAAUUCCAAAACUUUAUAAAAAUUUAUGAAAUUAUGAAUAAAGAAAGAAAAUAAAAUAAGACAAAAAAUUAAAGCAAAAGAAAAAAGAUAGAUAAAGCACGAAAAAAGAAAAAAAAACAAAAAAUUAUAAAAAGUAAAAAAUGAAAAAGGACAAAAAUUGAAUAAAAAUUUCAAAAAUGAAAUGGAAUGACAAAAUGAAAAAAAAAUUAGUUUAAAAAAUAC